rnacentral:rRNA from 1 species
GAUGAACGCUGGCGGCGUGCCUAAUACAUGCAAGUCGAGCGAACGGACGAGAAGCUUGCUUCUCUGAUGUUAGCGGCGGACGGGUGAGUAACACGUGGAUAACCUACCUAUAAGACUGGGAUAACUUCGGGAAACCGGAGCUAAUACCGGAUGAUAUUUUGAACCGCAUGGUUCAAAAGUGAAAGACGGUCUUGCUGUCACUUAUAGAUGGAUCCGCGCUGCAUUAGCUAGUUGGUAAGGUAACGGCUUACCAAGGCAACGAUGCAUAGCCGACCUGAGAGGGUGAUCGGCCACACUGGAACUGAGACACGGUCCAGACUCCUACGGGAGGCAGCAGUAGGGAAUCUUCCGCAAUGGGCGAAAGCCUGACGGAGCAACGCCGCGUGAGUGAUGAAGGUCUUCGGAUCGUAAAACUCUGUUAUUAGGGAAGAACAUAUGUGUAAGUAACUGUGCACAUCUUGACGGUACCUAAUCAGAAAGCCACGGCUAACUACGUGCCAGCAGCCGCGGUAAUACGUAGGUGGCAAGCGUUAUCCGGAAUUAUUGGGCGUAAAGCGCGCGUAGGCGGUUUUUUAAGUCUGAUGUGAAAGCCCACGGCUCAACCGUGGAGGGUCAUUGGAAACUGGAAAACUUGAGUGCAGAAGAGGAAAGUGGAAUUCCAUGUGUAGCGGUGAAAUGCGCAGAGAUAUGGAGGAACACCAGUGGCGAAGGCGACUUUCUGGUCUGUAACUGACGCUGAUGUGCGAAAGCGUGGGGAUCAAACAGGAUUAGAUACCCUAGUAGUCCACGCCGUAAACGAUGAGUGCUAAGUGUUAGGGGGUUUCCGCCCCUUAGUGCUGCAGCUAACGCAUUAAGCACUCCGCCUGGGGAGUACGACCGCAAGGUUGAAACUCAAAGGAAUUGACGGGGACCCGCACAAGCGGUGGAGCAUGUGGUUUAAUUCGAAGCAACGCGAAGAACCUUACCAAAUCUUGACAUCCUUUGACAACUCUAGAGAUAGAGCCUUCCCCUUCGGGGGGGACAAAGUGACAGGUGGUGCAUGGUUGUCGUCAGCUCGUGUCGUGAGAUGUUGGGUUAAGUCCCGCAACGAGCGCAACCCUUAAGCUUAGUUGCCAUCAUUAAGUUGGGCACUCUAAGUUGACUGCCGGUGACAAACCGGAGGAAGGUGGGGAUGACGUCAAAUCAUCAUGCCCCUUAUGAUUUGGGCUACACACGUGCUACAAUGGACAAUACAAAGGGCAGCGAAACCGCGAGGUCAAGCAAAUCCCAUAAAGUUGUUCUCAGUUCGGAUUGUAGUCUGCAACUCGACUACAUGAAGCUGGAAUCGCUAGUAAUCGUAGAUCAGCAUGCUACGGUGAAUACGUUCCCGGGUCU